GGAAGAAGAAAAAUCCAAAAUAAAAACAUAAAUUUUAAAGAAGAAAAAAUAAUUGGAGCUUUUUUAUUUAUUCAACAUUGGUCUUGGUUACCUCUUCUUCCUUUUAUUUUAAUAUAGUUAAAUCGGUUUGUGUAGAAGCAGUGAU
rnacentral:ribozyme from 11 species